rnacentral:miRNA from 1 species
AUUUCUCUUCUUAUCCC